rfam:Bacteroidetes bacterium GWA2_40_15 gwa2_scaffold_5544, whole genome shotgun sequence.
AAGAGCCGUAUGAUGCGAGAGUAUCACGUACGGUUCUGUGAGAGGUUAGGGGUGAAAUCCCCCUUUCCUACUCGAU